rnacentral:rRNA from 1 species
UACGUAGGGGUGCGAGCGUUGUCCGGAAUUACUGGGCGUAAAGAGCUCGUAGGUGGUUUGUCGCGUUGUCCGUGAAAACUCACAACUCAAUUGUGGGCGUGCGGGCGAUACGGGCAGACUGGAGUACUGCAGGGGAGACUGGAAUUCCUGGUGUAGCGGUGGAAUGCGCAGAUAUCAGGAGGAACACCGGUGGCGAAGGCGGGUCUCUGGUCUGUAACUGACGCUGAGGCGCGAAAGCGUGGGGAGCAAACAGG